rnacentral:piRNA from 1 species
GAAAAAACUAAAGCCAAAUUGAUCAUGA